rnacentral:rRNA from 1 species
UACGGAGGGUGCAAGCGUUAUCCGGAUUUACUGGGUUUAAAGGGUGCGUAGGUGGGUUGGUAAGUCAGUGGUGAAAUACUUUCGCUUAACGAAGGAACUGCCAUUGAUACUACCAGUCUUGAAUACAGUGGAGGUAGGCGGAAUGCGUCAUGUAGCGGUGAAAUGCUUAGAUAUGACAUAGAACACCAAUUGCGAAGGCAGCUUACUACACAAAUAUUGACGCUGAGGCACGAAAGCGUGGGGAUCAAACAGG